rnacentral:rRNA from 1 species
GACGAACGCUGGCGGCGUGCUUAACACAUGCAAGUCGAACGGAAAGGCCCUGCUUUUGUGGGGUGCUCGAGUGGCGAACGGGUGAGUAACACGUGAGUAACCUGCCCUUGACUUUGGGAUAACUUCAGGAAACUGGGGCUAAUACCGGAUAGGAGCUCCUGCUGCAUGGUGGGGGUUGGAAAGUUUCGGCGGUUGGGGAUGGACUCGCGGCUUAUCAGCUUGUUGGUGGGGUAGUGGCUUACCAAGGCGUUGAGCGGUAGCCCGUCUGAGAGGGUGAUCAGCCACACGGGAACUGAGACACGGUAGAGGCUCCUAAGGGAGGCCGCAGUGGGGAAUAUUGGACAAGGGGCGCAAGCCUGAUCCAGCCAGACCGCGUGGGUGAAGAAGGCCUUCGGGGUGUAAAGCCCUUUUGUUGGGAAAGAAAAGCAGCAGGUUAAUACACCGCUGGUCUGACGGUACCCAAAGAAUAAGCACCGGCUAACUUCGUG